GUCAUUUGUACUGCCACUGGCAACCGAUCCACUGUCACUGGAAUUAUGGUUAGGAUGUCCCAAAAGUGGCACUAUGGAGAUUAUCCUAUUGUUAUAAUUUGAAUGCCUGAGCACUAUAUAUGCUGAACACAAGAGUGCGUCAGACGAUAUUGAAUUGAAAUUCUGUGCUUAACAACAAUAGUGAAUACUGAUAAUUUCUAUAGUGUCACUUUUUUUUAAACACCCUUUAUAUACUGUCAGUUUAUGUAAAGAAAUAGAAAGUUUUUACAAUCAGUUUUUAGCAGCUGCGUUUUCUAGGGGAAAUUCCCUAUACGACAUUUCUACUAUUGGAACAUUUACCCCCGUUGGAAUGGGCAAUAGUCAGACUAAAUUUUGAUCUAAGCAAGAAGAACAAAAUCCAUCACCACAGCUGGAAAGAGCAUGUUAAAAUUAGUAAAAUUGCAAAGUUUGGCCGCGAAAUGUUGUAAAAUGCGGAAAAUAUAGCCCUGCGAGAUUUGCAAAUUUUUGUAUUAAUUUGUAUUACGCACGGGAAAAUG